rnacentral:sRNA from 1 species
UGGAGGGAUAAAGCGUGUCGUCAUCGACUUGGCGAUAGAUGCCAGACUUGUCAGUUAUCCACACUCCUAUACUCCCCCCGCGAUGCCCCCCUCCCCCCCCGCACGCAAAGCCAGGCUGCUCUACUGCAAGGCGCAUGUCGCGAUCCACCCCACGGCGUUCAAGGGUGACAACGUCCCCGGCUACCUCGGCCUGGUUGAGGUGCACGGCGGGGGGGACACGGCGGGGGCGGUGGCGGGGGCGGGGCUGCUGGUGAGCUGGGUGCCGGACGAGGUGCUGGCGCGGAUGGACGAGCAGGACAGGGAGGGGUACCGGCGG